rnacentral:lncRNA from 1 species
CUUUAUAGUUCGUGAGAGCUGCAAAGAAAAUUGUCCGAAGAUAAGUAUCAAAUAUAAGUAUACUGCCUAAAGAAAUGGAAUCGCCCAGCCACGAUUUUAAAUUAGUUCUGGGCAAAGAAGGUCCAGGACAAGGGGGACUGGUACUGGAGUCAACAAGGACUGACAUCAACCCAGAGGAAAACUAUGUCAGCGCGAAUUGCCAAGAUGGAAACUGGAAGUUUUCAACAAUGAACACGGUUACAUGUACGAUUACGAGUAUGCAACACUUUUGUCCGACUCUGAACGCUUCAAAUAUCUGCCGGAAAAGAAGCGUAUCACUGCAGCUUUUACCGUCGACGUCAAAGAAGGUGGCCUUUGCGUGUUUCGUGGACAUAAUUUCUAUGAUAGGAACAUGACUUUCACAGAGGUGGAAGCAGCUAUUGCUGACCAGUUCAAACCCCUAACAAAUGAUGGUGUCUCCUCUUGCAUUGUUUUUGAACCAAAUUCCUGGGAAAUGACCUAUAUUGUUGAUGAUGCAAGCAUGACAACAGCCACAGUAACAGUGCCUCCAGGAAAGUAUGACGACAUGACUAAAGUUGGGAUUAACAGCGACCGACUUGUCAGCGCACGGAAACUUCCUCUUUGAAAGAAUUAAUUUCAAUAUUCAACUGACUCAUAUCUCUAAAUUGUAGUAGCACAUAUUCUACUUUAGAUUUUCUAAACAACUGAGGGCAAGAUUAAAUUCAUUCAUGUUAAAGAACGUUUUAACUUUCGUAGUUUUGUAGCUAAGUAAUGUGAAAUCCAGAAUAAAUUUCAAGAAUAUAUCCUAGAAUAAAUUUUGUAUCUGUUGAAAGUUAAAGUUUUGUUGCGUUUAUGAAUAUUUACGAUAUGAGACUAACAACUCGAACCCCCCCCCCUAAAUGGACGUAAAACAGGCUUUGAAAUUGAUGCUGUCGGACGGAUCAUAUAGAGAUUUUAAGUAACACUAGAGGAGGCAUUGGUAUCGGAAACAUCAGUCGAAAAAGGGAGCGCGUUAAUGGGGGGGAAAUUCAAGUCCCGGAUGUUAAGCCAAGAACCUAUUGUGGUAUUCCACCACUGAGCUAUACUUAUAAUUCCUGGAAGACUUGCUCUUGGCCAGAAGGCCCAUAUUACAGAAAGUAAAGCAAGAAACAUGGCGGAUUUUGAGCUUUGCUGACGCCACUUGGUUCCUUUUGCUCAUAGUGGUUACCACUGACAUACCGCGAUACAAAGUGAAAAUCAAGUCCGUCUCCCUCCUGGGUUUUCUGAAAAUAUUUUUUCGAAAUUAUUUUUUCGUAUCUCAUUUUUGUUUUUUUUCCCAUUUUGGAUGUAAUACCCUAAUUAGAUCAGCUGGCUUUCCUACCCCUGCUAACAUUCGAAUAUAAUCAAUUACAACAACACGCCGGAUGUUAGAGUGGACGGGGCUUCAAACAAGCACAUAGCAUAAUAAAUGUAUCCACGUAAAAGGCGCCCAUCUUUUUGCUAGAUAUAACGAAACCAACCCUUCUUGCAGUAAACACUAACAUAGUAACUAAUCAAAAUUACGUGGGUCUAUUUCUUUAAUUGUAUGGCCUUGCAUGCGGGAUAGAGUUUUAUAUAAUAACUACAAUGAAACACGCAAUUUGAUUGGUUCAUAGGCGUGCAGUAUGAGACAAUCCUGCACGGAAAGUUUACAAUGCCGCUUUGCGCGGGAAAUUU